AUUAGCCCAUUUAUAGGUCUACACUCAUUAGCCAAUUAACUUAUCCAGGUUUCUGUAGGCAUAAGUUGAUUAACCAAUCCAUGAUUCCAAAGCCAUUAACCAAAAAUUGUGGCAGUCUGCAUUAUCUCAUUACUUAGGAGAUCCAAACCAGUCGCUCGACCCCCAAUCUACCACAGUAAUGGUCAAACAAUCCAGCCCCGGAGUCAUCACCAUUUUCCAGCUGCGAAUCAACCAUGACACUGUCUGCAAGUCGUUUGCUGGAUCAGCAGUGAGAAGACUCGCAAUAUGCAAGUAAUAAAGAGCUGAGGAGUGGUUGAGGAUCCAGGUUGCAGGCACUUACACCUGCGCUGUAGAUGUGACGUUGAUGUGGAUAUCUCCGUUGCUGCUUCUUGGCCCUCCGGGGGAGUGAGGAACAGACGGAGGCCUGAGACCUUGGAAAU